AUACGGAGGGGGCUAGCGUUGUUCGGAAUUACUGGGCGUAAAGCGCGCGUAGGCGGUUGUUCAAGUUGGGCGUGAAAGCCCGGGGCUUAACCCCGGAAAUGCGCUCAAAACUGGACAGCUAGAGUCCGGAAGAGGAGAGUGGAAUUCCCAGUGUAGAGGUGAAAUUCGUAGAUAUUGGGAAGAACACCAGUGGCGAAGGCGGCUCUCUGGUCCGGUACUGACGCUAAGGUGCGAAAGCGUGGGGAGCAAACAGGAUUAGAAACCCCGGUAGUCC
rnacentral:rRNA from 1 species